UCACCGGUAGUAUAGUGGUGAGUAUCCCCGCCUGUCACGCGGGUGACCUGGGUUCAAUUCCCCGCCGGGGAG
rnacentral:tRNA from 1 species